GAGCCCGCCCACUGCAGCACGCGUGACUGAGGGCAUUUAUUCUAUCUUAUUCUUACAGAGACUUAGAGAUGCCACACUCCUCCUUCAGAAUGCACUGCUGGGCAGUUAUUGCAUUUGUGCUGGUCUUUACCCACAGAACAGUAUGCAGUCAAGAAUAUGCUGUGCUCCAGUCCCAGACUGCAGUGACUGUGUCCCAGGGAGAGACGGUGGUCCUGACAGCCACAUAUAAGGUACCCAGUACUGUUGCAAACCCCUAUCUCUAUUGGUACAGGCAGUACCCGGGACAGGCUUUGGAAUAUUUAAUACACGAAGACACCUACGGGAGUGUUGGUAACGAGAAAUCCAGAUUUACUAUAACUGUGGAUAACGUUAAGAAAACUACAACGCUCUCCAUCCCUGACUGUGUAGCGUCUGACACCGCAGUAUAUUACUGUGCUGUGAGUGACACAGUGCAGAUCUGCUACCCGGAGGAAAUGCAAAAACUCAUUAACAGGGGUUGACUCCAAUUUACUCAAAUGUGCUAUCUUACUCAUACAGUAGCAACAAUCACAUCUUAGGUUCAUACCUCUCAGCAAGGGUUGCCAUCUCUUCAAAUGCCCCCCCAAACGGACAUGUAAAUGUCAAAAUCUGCAGGACAGACCAAACCAGUGCAAAGGACUGGAAUUCAAUGAUAUGCCCCCCCCCCCCAAAAAAAAAAGACGUUC